rnacentral:rRNA from 1 species
UACAGAGGGGGGCAAGCAUUGUUCGGAAUUACUGGGCGUAAAGGGCGCGUAGGCGGCCUUCUAAGUCAGACGUGAAAUCCCUCGGCUCAACCGGGGAACUGGCGUCUGAGACUGGAAGGCUUGAAUCCGGGAGAGGGAUGUGGAAGUUCCAGGUGUGAGCGGUGGAAAUACGUAGAUAUCUGGAGGAACACCGGUGGCGAAGGCGGCAUCCUGGACCGGUAUUGACGCUGAGGCGCGAAAAGCCAGGGGA